rnacentral:rRNA from 1 species
GAUGAACGCUGGCGGCGUGCCUAAUACAUGCAAGUCGAGCGAACGGACGAGAAGCUUGCUUCUCUGAUGUUAGCGGCGGACGGGUGAGUAACACGUGGAUAACCUACCUAUAAGACUGGGAUAACUUCGGGAAACCGUAGCUAAUACCGGAUAAUAUUUUGAACCGCACGGUUCAAAAGUGAAAGACGGUCUUGCUGUCACUUAUAGAUGGAUCCGCGCUGCAUUAGCUAGUUGGUAAGGUAACGGCUUACCAAGGCAACGAUGCAUAGCCGACCUGUUAGGGUGGUAGGCCACCCUGGAGCUUGGACGCGGUCCUGGCUCCUACGGGAGGCACCAGUAGGGUAUCUUCCGCAGUGGGCGGAAGCCUGACGGAACAACGCCGCGUGAGUUAUGACGGUCUUCGGAUCGUAAAACUCUGUUAUUAGGGAAGAACAUAUGUGUAAGUAACUGUGCACAUCUUGACGGUACCUAAUCAGAAAGCCACGGCUAACUACGUG